rnacentral:tRNA from 1 species
GUGAUUGUAGCUCAGUUGGUAGAGCACUCGGUUGUGACCCGAGAGGCCACGGGUUCGAGCCCCGUCGUUCACCCCA